ensembl:lncRNA
CUAAAGUGGACCAUACCAUUUCUUACCCUUGACGUUAGAUGAACAUCUUGUCUGCCUGCCUCACUUCCAACAUUGCGGUGGCUUUUUUUUUUUUUUUUAAGGAGAAGCCCCCCCACUACAAUGGGUAAACCGGAACUACCAAGACAUUAAUUCAUUCAAGUUUCAGUUUACUUGUUGUGAUAGAGGGGCUUUAAAAAAUGACACACAAUGGAUGCUUGAGUGACGUAACGCAAAUUCCCGAGCUAAAGUUGGACAGCUAUUGUGCUGCCCAGGAGAGUCAACCCAAACGUCUGUGGUUAAUUCUUUAAGAUCAGUCUGUUACCUGAGCUAAUGGACCCGGCCUCUGUGCUCAUGAGUACAUGAAAGCUAAUUUUGGCAGAGAGGGAGUUCCUGGAACUGGUUGGCUGCCCUCUUAUGAUGAGAGUCCCCAGUGUCAUCCCCUCACUCUGAAAGCCCGCCCCUCACCUGUAGUCCCUCCUGCAUUAUAAGGAUCCACAACAGCAAUGGGCCCAGUUGCUUUACAUGACACCAUGCCUGACACGAUCAGUAGGGGUCAGACUCAAGGCAGGCUGGAACACAACUAGAUAUCUGUCUAUCUGAGGUGCUGGUUCACCCAUGUUACCAUAACAACACUGUAAAUGGGUUUCUGUGAAAUUGACAAUAGCUUAGAGGCAGCUUGUGACAAAUAUAGCUCUGUAUUUCAUAUUGCAGUAUUCCUGCUCUAAUAGGAAUAUGUGUCAAUGCAUGUGCUGUGUAAUGACACAGUCAAAUACUGUAAACUGAUGGUAUUAUAUUGUAAGAAAAGUAAAUUCUACUCAAUUUGUUACAUUCAUUGAGGGGAGGAGUAUGUAUUCAUCAGUGUCUUACAGUAAUUACCUGAGAUUUGGGUGGAUGUUUACACAUUAAUACACAAAUAUAGCCUCUUAUAAGCCAAGUCUGAAAUAUUUUCAUGAGCCAGAAAUAAGAAGACCAUGCACCCACUAGUGGUCGAAAUUAUUUUGGUGCUGUAAAGAGACAGUACUGUACUGUACUGUACUGUAUUCUGCUGAGUGGAAUUACAGUACCAUUUUAAACACGGCCUACCGGCAUGGACAAUAUUUACAUUGUAAAUAACAGUAUCAUUUUAUUUUCUGCUUUAGUGAGGAUGAAUGUAAUUAAGAACAAAGCCAGUAUUUAUGUGAAAUUUGACUUUGAAUUUAUCCUGGUUAUUCCAACGGUUAUUUUGCCGAAUGUUUGUACGUGCCUUCUUAACGGUUGGUCUCUCUACAUCUGUGUACUGUCGGCCCCUCUGGAUGAGUGUGUCUGGUAAAAGACAUACAUGUAAAUGCAGUGUGACAGUGUGGGUUCCAUUUGCGCUGAUCCACGUGUUUUCCUUACCAAUGUGUGCAUCUUCUUUGUCUUUCUGUGACCCCCCUGUAUCAACCUGAUGUCACAAUGUCUUUUUGUAAAUAGUCUUUUUACAUUCCUACUCUUGGAGCAGAUCUGUUAAUGGUCUCCUGUGAGUGACGACUGUACUUUAAGUAGUAAUAAUAAUAACAGUCUUUCUUAACUCGA